GGCGGAGGACAGCCGAGCGACCGGAGUGACAGCAAAGGAAAGGCGGAGAGCGGGAGAAAGAAGCGUCUGCGCUGGCAAGCUCUCCCGGCAGCGCCGAGAGCCAGAGCUGCGGUGCUGCUGCGCCGAUGCUCCGUACGUUCGCAGUAACGGGUAGAGCGGAAGGCUCCGUGGCCAGGGAAGAGCGGCACGGACACGUUCCUGCUCGCUCCGUUGCACCGGAAUUUCGACGGCUGGGUUCGGCCGCUAAAUUGAUGGCGCUACCGGAAGAAAUUUCAGAAAAAAAGGGUGGCUUUUUCGUCGAUCUCUUUGUGAGAGUAUCAAAUCAGGCGGCGGUAAAUACGUAGAAGCAACUAGGCGUACUA